rnacentral:rRNA from 1 species
AAAAGCUCCGGCAGUAUAGGAUGGUCCCGCGUCUGAUUAGCUGGUUGGCGGGGUAACGGCCCACCAAGGCGACGAUCAGUAGCCGGCUUGAGAGAGUGGACGGCCACAUUGGGACUGAGACACGGCCCAAACUCCUACGGGAGGCAGCAGUGGGGAAUAUUGCACAAUGGGGGAAACCCUGAUGCAGCGACGCCGCGUGAGUGAAGAAGUAUUUCGGUAUGUAAAGCUCUAUCAGCAGGGAAGAAAAAAGACGGUACCUGACUAAGAAGCCCCGGCUAACUACGUGCCAGCAGCCGCGGUAAUACGUAGGGGGCAAGCGUUAUCCGGAAUUACUGGGUGUAAAGGGUGCGUAGGUGGCAUGGUAAGUCAGAAGUGAAAGCCCGGGGCUUAACCCCGGGACUGCUUUUGAAACUGUCAUGCUGGAGUGCAGGAGAGGUAAGCGGAAUUCCUAGUGUAGCGGUGAAAUGCGUAGAUAUUAGGAGGAACACCAGUGGCGAAGGCGGCUUACUGGACUGUCACUGACACUGAUGCACGAAAGCGUGGGGAGCAAACAGGAUUAGAUACCCUGGUAGUCCACGCC